rnacentral:rRNA from 1 species
UAGUCCACACCGUAAACGAUGAGAGCUAGUUGUCUGCAGGCAUGCCUGUAGGUGACGCAGCUAACGCAUUAAGCUCUCCGCCUGGGGAGUACGGUCGCAAGAUUAAAACUCAAAGAAAUUGACGGGGGCCCGCACAAGCGGUGGAGCAUGUGGUUUAAUUCGAAGCAACGCGCAGAACCUUACCUACCCUUGACAUGCCGGUCGCGAUUUCCAGAGAUGGAUUUCUUCAAUUCGGUUGGACCGUGCACAGGUGCUGUAUGGCUGUCGUCAGCUCGUGUCAUGAGAUGUUGGGUUAAGUCCCGCAACGAGCGCAACCCUCACUGUUAGUUGCCAGCAUUUAGUUGGGCACUCUAGCGGAACUGCCGGUGCUAAGCCGGAGGAAGGUGGGGAUGACGUCAAGUCCUCAUGGCCCUUACGGGUAGGGCUACACACGUGCUACAAUGGUCGGUACAGAGGGUUGCGAAGCCGCGAGGUGGAGCUAAUCUCAUAAAAACCG